UGCAUUUUUUGGUAAGACGAUGUUAACAAAAGUUGUUCGUCUUGAUGAGGGCUACAACUUUGCUUAAUAUCCUUUUAACAAAUUAUGCGUAUUUAAGGAGAUAGGGCUGCGCAUGCGCAGAACGUAUCUCCUUACCUUUGCACUUUUUGGUAAGAAGAUGUUAAUAAAAGUUGUUCGUGUUGAUGAGGGCUACAACUUUGCUUAAUAUCCUUUUAACAAAUUAUGCG
rnacentral:miRNA from 1 species